rnacentral:rRNA from 1 species
AUUGAACGCUGGCGGGAGGCCUAACACAUGCAAGUCGAACGAGUGGCGGACGGGUGAGUAAUAUCUGGGAAACUGCCCGAUGGAGGGGGAUAACUACUGGAAACGGUAGCUAAUACCGCAUACCAUCGGAUGUGCCCAGAUGGGAUUCGCUAGGUGGUGGGGUAACGGCGCACCAAGGCGACGAUCCCUAGCUGGUCUGAGAGGAUGACCAGCAAAACUGGAACUGGGACACGGUCCAGACUCCUACGGGAGGCAGCAGUUGGGAAUAUUGCACAAUGGGCGAAAGCCUGAUGCAGCCAUGCCGCGUGUAUGAAGAAGGCCUUCGGGUUGUAAAGUACUUUCAGCGGGGAGGCGUUACCUGUAGAAGAAGCACCGGCUAACUCCGUGCCAGCAGCCGCGGUAAUAC